CGGCGGCCUACACAUGCAAGUCGAGGGGCAUCGCGGUGUAGCAUACACUGGCGGCGACCGGCGUACGGGUGCGUAACGCGUAUGCAACCUGCCCCGCACCGGGGGAUAGCCCGCCGAAAGGCGGAUUAAUACCCCAUGGUCCCCCGUGCCCGCAUGGGCGUGGGGGUAAAGCCCUGGCGGUGCGGGAUGGGCAUGCGUGCCAUUAGCUGGCUGGUGCGGUAACGGCGCACCAGGGCGACGAUGGCUAGGGGGUCUGAGAGGAUGGUCCCCCACACUGGUACUGAGACACGGACCAGACUCCUACGGGAGGCAGCAGUGAGGAAUAUUGGUCAAUGGGCGGAAGCCUGAACCAGCCAUGCCGCGUGCGGGAAGAAGGCCCUACGGGUUGUAAACCGCUUUUCCGGGGGAAGAAUAAUCCCGCUGCGGCGGGAGAUGCCGGUACCCCGGGAAUAAGGAUCGGCUAACUCCGUGCCAGCAGCCGCGGUAAUACGGAGGAUCCGAGCGUUAUCCGGAUUUACUGGGUUUAAAGGGUGCGUAGGCGGCCCUGCCAAUC
rnacentral:rRNA from 1 species